UGGGGAAUUUUGGACAAUGGGCGAAAGCCUGAUCCAGCAAUGCCGCGUGUGUGAAGAAGGCCUUCGGGUUGUAAAGCACUUUUGUCCGGAAAGAAAUCCUUGGCUCUAAUACAGUCGGGGGAUGACGGUACCGGAAGAAUAAGCACCGGCUAACUACGUGCCAGCAGCCGCGGUAAUACGUAGGGUGCAAGCGUUAAUCGGAAUUACUGGGCGUAAAGCGUGCGCAGGCGGUUUGCUAAGACCGAUGUGAAAUCCCCGGGCUCAACCUGGGAACUGCAUUGGUGACUGGCAGGCUAGAGUAUGGCAGAGGGGGGUAGAAUUCCACGUGUAGCAGUGAAAUGCGUAGAGAUGUGGAGGAAUACCGAUGGCGAAGGCAGCCCCCUGGGCCAAAUACUGACGCUCAUGCACGAAAGCGUGGGGAGCAAACAGGAUUAGAUACCCUGGUAGUCCACGCCCUAAACGAUGUCAACUAGUUGUUGGGGAUUCAUUUCCUAGUAACGUAGCUAACGCGUGAAGUUGACCGCCUGGGGAGUACGGUCGCAAGAUUAAAACUUAAAUGAAUUGACGAGGUCAUAGCUGUUUCCU
rnacentral:rRNA from 1 species